CCUACGGGAGGCUGCAGUGGGGAAUAUUGGACAAUGGGCGAAAGCCUGAUCCAGCCAUGCCGCGUGUGUGAAGAAGGCCUUCGGGUUGUAAAGCACUUUCAGUGGGGAAGAAAGCCUUGGGGCUAAUACCCUCGAGGAAGGACAUCACCCACAGAAGAAGCACCGGCUAACUCCGUGCCAGCAGCCGCGGUAAUACGGAGGGUGCGAGCGUUAAUCGGAAUUACUGGGCGUAAAGCGCGCGUAGGCGGUCUGAUAAGCCGGUUGUGAAAGCCCCGGGCUCAACCUGGGAACGGCAUCCGGAACUGUCAGGCUAGGGUGCAGGAGAGGAAGGUAGACUUCCCGGUGUAGCGGUGAAAUGCGUAGAGCUCGGGAGGAAUACCAGUGGCGAAGGCGGCCUUCUGGACUGACACUGACGCUGAGGUGCGAAAGCGUGGGUAGCAAACAGGAUUAGAUACCCAGUAGUC
rnacentral:rRNA from 1 species